ACUUCAUGAUGUGGGCAUUGGGCUAAUUUUCCAUGAAAUCAUUUGCAUGCUUCAAACAGCGGUUCUCCAUUGAUUUGUUGAAAAUUUACAAUCUCAUCCUACUUUU